GCAACCUACGGGACGCAGCAGUGGGGAAUAUUGCACAAUGGGCGAAAGCCUGAUGCAGCAACGCCGCGUGAAGGAAGACGGUUUUCGGAUUGUAAACUUCUAUCAAUAGGGAAGAAAGAAAUGACGGUACCUAAAUAAGAAGCCCCGGCUAACUACGUGCCAGCAGCCGCGGUAAUACGUAGGGGGCAAGCGUUAUCCGGAAUUACUGGGCGCAAAGGGUGUGCAGGCGGUUUUG
rnacentral:rRNA from 1 species